AGUGUCGUUAGCUCAAUUGCUAAA
rnacentral:siRNA from 1 species